rnacentral:rRNA from 2 species
CACGCCGUAAACGUUGGGCGCUAGGUGUGGGGAACCUUCCACGUUCUCCGUGCCGUAGCUAACGCAUUAAGCGCCCCGCCUGGGGAGUACGGCCGCAAGGCUAAAACUCAAAGGAAUUGACGGGGGCCCGCACAAGCGGCGGAGCAUGCGGCUUAAUUCGAUGCAACGCGAAGAACCUUACCUGGGCUUGACAUAUAGGGAAAUCUCAUAGAGAUAUGAGGUCCGCAAGGGUCCUAUACAGGUGG